GGCCCGGCUGGGGCUGCUGGGAGGGCCGGUGCCUCGCCUCCUGGCUUUCCGGAGCGUCAGGAAGAGAAGGGUUGUUUGGGGUUUUUUAUUGUAGGUGCAAGCCGAAAGGGGAAAGCUGCGCAGCCUAAAAAAGUAUCAGCGCUUCCUCAGCCGCAGUGGGACCGGUAACGGCAGCGCCAGCCAGUGCGGGGGGCGGGCAGCGGCUCCGGCCGUGCCCAGGGGUUCCACGGGGGAAGCGGUUCCUUCCUCUGCAGGGCUGUGGCACUUCAGAGGCCAACAAUGCAGAGGAAUGUAUCAGCCUUUAUUUUCUUCACAGACAUUAGCAGCAUUAUCUCAACUUCUGAGAAAUACACAGCAAGCCAAAAUCAACCAUCACGAGACAUG